UACGAAGGGGGCUAGCGUUGCUCGGAAUCACUGGGCGUAAAGGGUGCGUAGGCGGGUUUUUAAGUCUGGGGUGAAAUCCUGGAGCUCAACUCCAGAACUGCCUUUGAUACUGAAGAUCUCGAGUCCGGGAGAGGUGAGUGGAACUGCGAGUGUAGAGGUGAAAUUCGUAGAUAUUCGCAAGAACACCAGUGGCGAAGGCGGCUCACUGGCCCGGUACUGACGCUGAGGCACGAAAGCGUGGGGAGCAAACAGG
rnacentral:rRNA from 1 species